rnacentral:rRNA from 1 species
AAUCAACGCUGGCGGCGCGCCUAACACAUGCAAGUCGAACGAGAAAGUGGAGCAAUCCAUGAGUACAGUGGCGUACGGGUGAGUAACACGUGGGUAAUCUACCUUUUAGUGAGGAAUAACCCCUGGGAAACCGGGGCUAAUACCGCAUAAGCCUGAGAAGGGAAAGUCGAAAGACGCUGAAAGAGGAGCCCGCGGCCGAUUAGCUAGUUGGUGAGGUAAGAGCCCACCAAGGCAGAGAUCGGUAGCCGGCCUGAGAGGGCACACGGCCAC